CCUACGGGCGGCAGCAGUGAGGAAUAUUGGUCAAUGGUCGGGAGACUGAACCAGCCAAGCCGCGUGAGGGAUGAAGGUACAGAGUAUCGUAAACCUCUUUUGUCAGGGAACAAAGGCGGGGACGCGUCCCCGGAUGAGUGUACCUGAAGAAAAAGCAUCGGCUAACUCCGUGCCAGCAGCCGCGGUAAUACGGGGGAUGCGAGCGUGAUCCGGCUUUAUUGGGUUUAAAGGGUGCGCCGGCGGUCUGUUAAGUGAGCGGUCAAAGCCCGGGGCUCAAACCCGGCCCGCCGUUGAAACUGGCAGUCGCGAGUUGGAGAGAAGUAUGCGGAAUGCGCGGUGUAGCGGUGAGAGGCAGAGAUAUCGCGCAGAACUCCGAUUGCGAAGGCAGCAUGCCGGCUCCACACUGACGCUGAGGCACGAAAGCGUGGGUAUCGAACAGGAUUAGAUACCCCAGUAGUC
rnacentral:rRNA from 1 species